rnacentral:rRNA from 1 species
AACGCGAAGAMCCUUMCCUGGUCUUGACAUCCACGGAAUUUGGCAGAGAUGCCUUAGUSCCUUCGGGAACCGUGAGACAGGUGCUGCAUGGCUGUCGUCAGCUCGUGUUGUGAAAUGUUGGGUUAAGUCCCGCAACGAGCGCAACCCUUAUCCUUUGUUGCCAGCGGUCCGGCCGGGMACUCAAAGGAGACUGCCAGUGAUAAACYGGAGGAAGGUGGGGAUGACGUCAAGUCAUCAUGGCCCUUACGRCCAGGGCUACACACGUGCUACAAUGKCMSUUUCAAAGRGAMSCSACCUCGCGAGAGCAAGCKGACCUCAUCCGCUUCUAGUCCGGAUYGSASUCUSCAMCUCGACUCCAUGAAGUCGGAAUCGCUAGUAAUCGGGAUCAGAAU